UGGGAUGUGGUUCAGUGGCAGAGCUCUUCCCUCGAAAGUAUGAGGCACUGGGUUCAAUCCUCAGCAUCACAU
rnacentral:tRNA from 1 species